rnacentral:rRNA from 1 species
UGCGUAGGCCGCUAGGUGUGUCAGGUGUGAAAUCUCGGGGCUCAACCUCGAAACUGCGCCUGAAACUAUCUAGCUAGAGUGUCGGAGAGGUAAGCGGAAUUUCUGGUGUAGCGGUGAAAUGCGUAGAUAUCAGAAGGAACACCAAUGGCGAAGGCAGCUUACUGGACGACAACUGACGCUGAGGCACGGAAGCGUGGGUAGCGAAAG